rnacentral:lncRNA from 1 species
GUAAAGAAGGUGCCUUGCUUUCCCUUCACCUUGGGCCAUGAUUGUAAGUCUCCUGAGGCCUCCUCAGCCAUGCUGAAAUGCCUAGGACCUAGGAGCACAUGAUGGGACGCGGUCAACAAAACAUUCAGAAUGAGCAAAUCAAUAUGGAACGUGUUGUCUGGCUUUUCUUGGCAGCAUGGGUUCUUUGAAGAGUUUUAAAGAGAAUUCACAAUUACUGAAUAUUACAUAAUUUGAAGAUGAGUAAACUGCUUUCAUCACUGCUCUGGCAAUAAAAUCUGGAAAUCUGGAGAACUCUAGCUUCUAAAAACUAUCUUAUGAUCCAAUUCAGAAUGUGUAGUUCUGCACACAUCGUACAUUUCUUUUUCCUAAGCCAAAUGAUCAUCAAUUCAUCUAAAACCAUUGUCAGGAGGCCCUAUGCUAUGCAAGACUAAUUGUGAGUGUGACUGUAUGCAAAAACAAACAAACAAACAAGGGAAAAAAAGCUUGUUAAAAAGGGAAUUCUUUACUCAAGAGGCAGGAAAAAAAUACCUCCUGACUAGGGAAAGCACAUAUUGAUAGUUCCAGCAGCAACAAACCUGGAGAUCUCUGUCAUUUCUGUUCAAGUGCAUGAAAAGCAAGGCAGCAAAAGCUGUUGGUGCUGUGAGCAUAGAAGGCUAAGGACAUACUUCCCAGCAACUUGCUCGGACUGGACGGUGACUGGAGCUGAUUCCUGAGAUGGGAGUGUGAGCUUGGCAGGCUUUGACAUGGAGCCAGGCCAAAGUGGGAGGCCAAAUUUACAGUGUCAAAUAAACCAUGACUUAGGCGAGAUUUUGUUCAAAAGUAUCAUUGGAAGGGGUUGGAUGGUGGUGGGGUGUGGGGAGACUAUUGUAAUAAAUAGAACACUCUACACAUGAGAUCUGCAGGCAUCUCAAGAGUUAGGCAAAAAGUGGUUUUGUUUUAUAGGAGGAAUAAACAAGGAAGUGAUGUGAGGAAGUGGAUGAAGGGGUCCCAAAAGUGGGUAGUGGAUCAGGGAACAUUCUUCUGGAGGCCAGCCUGUUCUUAGGAGUGAGUGAAGACCAGCUCAGGCUGAUGGUGGGCCAAGGUUCUGGGACCUGGGGAAAGGACAGAAACUUAACCAAAGUUCAAUAAAUAAGAAUUUUGUUUCCAUUAAUUUCAGGGGAAAAAAUAGUUCAGCUAAUCUAUGAGGCAAAGAAUAGGAAUUUGGAAGGCCCAGUCUGGCCUGUCAUAAGUAAACAGGGGCAGGGGUGGGGUGAUAUGGUUAAGCUUUGUGUCCCCACCCAAAUCUCACCUUGAAUUGUAAUCCCCAUAAUCCCCACUUGUCAAGGGAGAGACCAGGUGGAGGAAAUUGAAUCAUGGAUGUGGUUUCUCCCAUGCUGGUCUCGUGAUAAUGAGUGAAUUAUCAUGAGAUCUGAUGGUUUUAUAAGGGGCUCUUCUCCCUUCGUUCAACACUUCUCCUUCCUGCCGCCUUGUGAAGAAGACGCCUUGCUUCCCCUUGGCCUUACACCAUGAUUGUAAGUUCCCUGAGGCCUCCCCAGUCAUGCUGAACUGUGAGUCAAUUAAAUCUCUUUCCUUUAUAUUAGGGUGGUGCAAAAGUAAUUGCAGUUUUUGCCAUUGAAAGUAAUAAAUUACCCAGCCUUCAGCAGCUCUUUAUAGCAGUAUGAAAACAGACUAAUACAGGGGGCUUCCAUGAGUCUAAUUUAAGUCAUACAAGGAAGAGGGAUCUUGAAGUUAAGUCAUUUCCUCUAGCACGAAGGAUGGGAGAUUUCUUAGCAUCCUCUGUUUUCUAAGAACACAGGUAAAAUUCAACACUGUCAGCAGUAAGGGCUUCUAAGGACAACUUAAGAGUCUUCUUUUUUCCUUUCCCAACUCUCAUCCUUUCUUUAGGUAGAGAAGAUUUCCUGACCUGUAUCUUUUUCCCUCCCUCUGAAGAACUUCUUUCAACAUUUCUUGCAAGGCAGAUUUACUGGUGACAAAUGCCCUCAGUUUUGUUGAUUUGAGUCUUUAUUUCUCCAUCACCUUUGAAGGAUAAUUUUGCAGGAUACAAAAUUUUACAUGAGUUUUUUAUUCCUUCAAAUCUUUGAAUCUUUACUCCACUCUCUUGCUGGCCUGGUUAUGGACUAGAAGUCUGAUGGAAUGCCCAUCUUUGUUCCUUUCUGGGUGGGUGUCCCCCACCAUGCCACCCCUACCCCAGGAUUUUUUCAAGAUUUUUCCCUAGGUCUUUGUUUUUCUGUAGUCUGAGUAUGAUACGCUCAGGUGUUGAUUUGGGGGUAUUAAUUGUGCUUGUUGUUCUCUGAGCUUCUUUAAUCUAUGGUUUGAUUUUUGUUAAUAAUUUUAGAAAAUUCUCAGUCAUUAUAAUCUUUAAAUAUUUCUUCUGCUCCUUCACUUUCUUUGUUCUCCUUUUGGUAUUCAUUAGUGUGUGUUAUGCCUUUUAUGUCUCACCAUUCUAGCAUAUUCUAUUUCUUUUAAAAUAUUUUUUUUCUUCUCCUUGCAUUUCAGUUUGGGAAGUUUCUGUUGAUGUCUCUUCAAGCUCACUGAUUCUUUCUGUGGCUGUGUCCAGUCUACUCAUGAGCCCAUCAGGGUGCAUGCUUCAUUUUUGUUAUGGAAGUGGUUUUGGUUUCUAAGGUUUCUUUGCUUCUUUCUUAUAAUCUUCAUCUCUCUGCUUACAUUACCCAUCUGUUCUUGCAUGUUGUCCAAUUUUUUCAUUAACAUUUUAACCACAGUUACUUAGAAUUCCUGAUAUAAUGAUUUUGAAGUCUCUGCCAUAUCUGAGUCUGACUGUGAUGCUUGCUUUAUCUUUUCAGAUGGUUUUUUUCCAUGCCUUCUGUCAUGUCUUGUAAUUUCUUGUGAAAAGCCAGACAUGAUGUACUGGGUUAUGAGAACUCAAGCAGACAGGCCUUUGGUGAGAAGUUUGAUGUUUUUCUGGCUAGAAGUUAGUCUGUGCUUACUGUCCCCUGUAGCUGUAUGUGUCAGAAGCUUAUUUGUCCUCGGUCCUGGUUUUUGGCUCUCGUAUUAUCUGUGGGUUUCUCAGGAACUUUUUCUUAGGAGUCUGGUCCUCGAAGUUUUAUUGUGCUGCAACCACCUGCUAUUAUAUGGGAACCCUGUUGAUGUGGGAUAAAGUGUGGGAUGGGGAACCAGUUCAUGAUCCUAUGACCAGGUCUCAGUGUUUCAGUGAACCUGUGACCCUGGGCUGUGACCUUCACCAGUGUUUCUCAGAUGGUUUUUCUCUUCUCAUGCCAGAGAAAGCAGGCUAGAGGGGGCUGCAAUUGGGUCAUUUCCUUUCCCCAAAAUUGGAUAAAGCUCUGGCUUGGUGGUGUUUGUUGUGGAGAAUGACCUGGGCAUAUUUCAGAAUGGUUACUCUUCCCUUCUCCCUGGCCAUGCAUAGGGUAUAUUCACCAUGAGAACCUGGUGGGGUUCCUGGAGGAAAAAAAAAAUGUGUCACACAACCCUGCUCUAGGGUCCCCAGGAGUUUUUAACUCUCACGUUAGUCCACCCUCAGCCCCUGGUGAUUUGUCAGCUGCACCCUUCAAGUGUUCUCACCAGCUCCAGUGGCCUGUGCCUCCGGCGAGCUAAUCUGCACUCUCCCUCUUCACCCAUCUCUUCAGUUUUCAGGGUGCUGAUUUAUCCUCCACCUCAGUUCUGUGAUGGAUCUAAGAAAAGUUUUUGAUUUUCAGCUUGUUUUUAUUGUUGUUCGGAGAGGGGGAGAGAUGACUUCCAAGCAUUUUUAUUUGGUUGGUUGUUGUUUUUAGAUUUUAAUGUGCAUAUAUAUUUAAAUUCUCAUUAGAAUUAUACACUAAUGAUCUCUAAACUCCCAUUUUUUUUUUUUUUCAGUUAACAAGACCUUUCAAAAAAAUUUAUCUGAGCUACCUCCUCUCUCUGAAUGGCUUUUUCCCACUUGAGCCUAGCAAUCUUUCCUUAAGUAAAAAAAGAAAGCUGAGAUAUUCAAAAGAGUCCCCAAAGUUAGUGUCUCACCCAGCCUGUUGUUUGUUAGCCAGUUUCCUUCUGGAGGAGGAAGUUAGUUUAAACAUGGCCUACUUUCCUCCCUUCUCCCUUUCAUUGCAGUCCAUAGUUAUUAAAUUAAAUGUGAACUCAGCUGUUUUACUGAAGUGCUUUUGUGGUGUUUAUGAAUAGAAGGGAUUAGCAUUUAUUGGUAAAUCGUUAUGCCCCAAGAACUGUGUUAGGUAGUCCUCAAGCUUUAACGUGCACAGAAUCAUGGAGAGAUCUGGUAACGUGCAAGCUGUGGCUCAGCUGGCUGGGGUGCAACCUGGGUGUCGUUGUUUUGCGGGAGGAUGGGCUCACAGGGCCUGCCCAGGGUCACUGGUCUCAGUCAGCCUCCACUCACAGGUAAGAACUCUGAGACUGGUGAGGGAAAUCACUUUGGCAUAGCUUCACAGCCAGUCGGUAUUUACACCCAGGGCUUCAGGCCACGCGCAAAGCAGCAGCAGGCGUGCCCCGGAUUAAUUAUCAUCUCCUCCUGCCACAACAGCCGUUUAUUUAGAUUUUUUUGUUUAGGACACUGCUGUGGGUUGAACUGUGUCUCCCUAAAAGGUAGGUUGAUGUCUUAACCCCUGGUACUUGUGAACAUGACCUUAUUUGGAAAUAGGGUCUUUUCAGAUAUAAUCGAGUGAAGAUGAGGCCAUACUUGAGUAGGGGGGCCCUUAAUCCAACAUGACAGGUAUCCUGUAAGAAGAGAAAAGGAGACAUGGACACACAUACAGAGGAGAAUGCCGCAUAGCAGAGAUGGGAGCGGUGUGGCUCCAAGUCAUGUCAAGCAUUGCCAGCCACUACCAGAGGCCAGAACGGCCAAGAAGGCGCCUCCCCUGGAACCUGCAGAGAGACCGUGACCCUCUCGGCACCUUGAUUGAGGAUUUCUAGCCUCCAUAACUGCGAGAUAAUACAUCUCUGUUGUUUUAAGCUUCCAAGUUUGACGUGAUUUGUGAUAGCAGCCCUAGGAAAUGGAUAAAAAUACUGAGUAUACUGCCUUGGUUUUCCGUGUUGCUGACUGUGUCUGUCUGCCCUCUAGACUGUCAUCAGGCAAACUCAGUGACUGCUAAAAGCGCAUCUGACCCACACAAGCCCUCAGCCCACCUUGCUGUUUACUUGGCUUUCAGCAGUAGGAGAAAAAAUGAUGUUUAUAUUAUAAAAGUAAAUCAGCUGUAUUGUACUUUACAGCAGAGAAACCCUUUGUUACUCAUAUUUUCAAAUACUUUUUAAGAGAUGUUUAAAGCAUGGAAAGUAUUUUUAGCAUUUAAAGUAUUUGCAUUUUUAAUAAAAAAAUUUCUCCACAG